UCCCUCUUAGCUCAGUGGUAGAGCGCGUCACUAGUAUCCUAGUUUGGAUCAUGACGAGGUCAGUCGUUCAAGUCGGCUAGAGGGAA